GACGAACGCUGGCGGCGUGCCUAAUACAUGCAAGUCGAACGCACAGUUUAUACCGUAGCUUGCUACACCAUAGACUGUGAGUUGCGAACGGGUGAGUAACGCGUAGGUAACCUGCCUGGUAGCGGGGGAUAACUAUUGGAAACGAUAGCUAAUACCGCAUAAUAUUGAUUAUUGCAUGAUAAUUGAUUGAAAGAUGCUAUUGCAUCACUACCAGAUGGACCUGCGUUGUAUUAGCUAGUAGGUGAGGUAACGGCUCACCUAGGCGACGAUACAUAGCCGACCUGAGAGGGUGAUCGGCCACACUGGGACUGAGACACGGCCCAGACUCCUACGGGAGGCAGCAGUAGGGAAUCUUCGGCAAUGGACGAAAGUCUGACCGAGCAACGCCGCGGGAGUGAAGAAGGUUGUCGGAUCGUAAAGCUCUGUUGUAAGAGAAGAACGGGUGUGAGAGUGGAAAGUUCACACUGUGACGGUAGCUUACCAGAAAGGGACGGCUAACUACGUG
rnacentral:rRNA from 1 species